GCAUAGAAUGUAGAGGUUAAAGAAAUGUCGCAAUAAAAUCACCGUUUUGUAUCAAAACUCUUGUUUAACUCUAGUGAAUUUUCGUGACAAAAGUAAUCCCAUCCUCAGGCAACACUGAAAUACGGAAAAAACAUGCAGAGAGUAAGUGAGGAGACUUGUACACCCUCCAAAGAUCACGGGACAAAGAUGUCCUAGACAACAAAAACAUCUCUUAUGUACCCUGGUCCUAGCAAUCGACAUCUAUCAAACCUACCUGAUCCAUGUAAUUCUAAUAAAAUUAAUUCUGGUUUCCUAGUCAAUUAUGCAAAGUAAAAAUAAAGUUAUUUAUGAAGCUAAUAAAAUCUAUAAAAGCAAUGAAAGAAACGUUAGUAUUCAUUUGCUUUCCAAGACUUUACUUCUAAUAAUAGUGAGUAAUAUUUUUUUCAAAAUACAAGCACUGAAAAACAUUCUUCACCCUGAUCAAUGACUGAUGUUUCUACUGUUACAAUAUACGCAACAUCCUCUAAAUAUUAUAAAGUGGAACAGAGAACCAAGUCUCACCUCUUAAGAUGAGAAAUAUCAUUGACACAAAAGAGUAUAUAGAUAUAUUUUAUUACUUUUUCCUUGCAGAUAUCCAAUGAUGGCAAAGUGCGCUCUCUCAUAUGAGUGAGUGAGUGUGUGUGUGUGUGUGUGUGUGUGUGUGUGUGUGUGUGUGUGUGUGUGUGUGUGUGUGUGUGUGUGUGUGUGUGUGUGUGUGUGUGUGUGUGUGUG